GGCUGUCGUCAGCUCGUGUCGUGAGAUGUUGGGUUAAGUCCCGCAACGAGCGCAACCCUUGUCAUUAGUUGCUACAUUCAGUUGGGCACUCUAAUGAGACUGCCGGUGACAAACCGGAGGAAGGUGGGGAUGACGUCAAGUCCUCAUGGCCCUUAUAGGUGGGGCUACACACGUCAUACAAUGGAUGGUACAAAGGGUCGCCAACCCGCGAGGGGGAGCCAAUCCCAUAAAGCCAUUCGUAGUCCGGAUCGCAGUCUGCAACUCGACUGCGUGAAGUCGGAAUCGCUAGUAAUCGUGGAUCAGAAUGUCACGGUGAAUACGUUCCCGGGUCUU
rnacentral:rRNA from 1 species